UAGGGAAUCUUCGGCAAUGGACGAAAAGUCUGACCGAGCAACGCCGCGUGAGUGAAGAAGGUUUUCGAAUCGUAAAACUCUGUUGGUAGAGAAGAACGUUGGUGAGAGUGGAAAGCUCAUCAAGUGACGGUAACUACCCAGAAAGGGCGGCUAACUACGUGCCAC
rnacentral:rRNA from 1 species